AAGGGUGGGUAGGGGGGUACCGACAAUCCUUUCAGCAGUUUUGAUUGUCCGUUGCAGUCGGAGUUUGUCCUUUUUUGUAGCAGCACCAAACCAGACUGUGAUGGAAGAACACAGGACUGAUUCGAUGACCGCUGUGUAGAACUGUCUCAGCAGCUCCGGUGGCAGGCCGUGCUUUCUCAGAAGCCGCAGGAAGUACAUCCUCUGCUGGGCCUUUUUGAGGACGGAGUUGAUUCCCAACACCCAUCUUUUUCUUUAGUUUUUCAAGCAGUGAAUUUUUUGGGGAUUCUCUUUUUCCUUUAUUUGCACCUUUGUUUUCCAAACAGAAGCGUCUUGCUGCUAUGCGAGUUCCAUAUGUUGGGAUGGAGCCAUCCAGACUGUUGUCAUCUAUGAAGGCAAUGACUUUGGCAUCAAUCUAUCAAAACAGAAACAAAUAGAACGACCAAUAUGACUGUCAUACUGAGAAGCCAAGAGAGGAUCCCCCAAUACAGUAUACCUCAAAUUUAGUAUGACCUCAUACCCUCAUAACUUGAUAGUUGUCUUUCUUUCCAGUAUCACUUUUUGAAAUGUAGCAUUUUGUACAACAAGUUUGCAUCUGAGCCAAAGCCAAAGAAAAAAACAACACAUUAUCCUUUGUGGACACUGAACAGAGGUCUCAUGAGGAUUGCUUACCCAGAAUUGCUGCACAAUUUGCUGAGGAUUCAAUUCCCCUCACGAUAAUUAAGUAGGAAUUAGUACUGUAAGAGUGUACCCCGCCUCCUGCCCGAUGAUAGCUGGGAUAGGCUCCAGCAUGCCCGCGACCCUAGUGAGGAGAAGCGGCUCACAAAAUGGAUGGAUGGAUGGAUAGUACUGUAAGUGGAUCAUUACCCUUAAGAAGAAGAAGAAGAAGAAUCACCUUUAUUGUCAUGAACAUGCAUGCAUGCACACGAAAUUUGUUCUCUGCAUUUAACCCAUCACAGUGAACACAUACACAUGUGUAACUUGACACUUGUGUUAUUUCUGAAAAAUGAUAAUAAAAGGGUUCUAAACUAUG